rnacentral:tRNA from 1 species
GGAGAGAUGGCUGAGUGGACUAAAGCAGUAGAUUGUUAAUCUGUUGUACAAUUUUUUUGUACCGAGGGUUUGAAUCCCUCUCUUUCCG